CUAAAACCUACGGAAUACUGUCCCCUGUGGACUGGGGUUUGAGAUCACUAAUCUAAAUCAUUACAUUAAUGAUCUGGCUGUAUGGUUAUCCUGCUAGAAGCUUCGCUGUCCCUGCUACUGAAGAUCAUUCCCACAGCAAGAUGCUCCCAACAUAUUUCAAUGUGAGGAGGGUGUUUUCAAAGUGAUGUGCUGAGCAUUUUGCAUGUGGGCCAUGAAACAAUCGGCAUGUGGACAUCCAACUAACAGUUUGGAGCUUGCUUGCUAUAAAAUAUCCUGGGCCUGAAGCCUCCUUUUCAUACCCAAAAAGGCGUGCACAUGCAUGGUUGUCUGUCCUGUGUGUCUCUGCGUUGCCCCGUAAUGGACUGGCGACCUGUCCAUGGUGUAACCUGCCUCUUGCCUACGACCUUUGGAGAUAGGCACCAGCCCCUCAGAAACCCUGCAAAGACAAGCAGAUGACCACCAGCCUAAGCUCAUGUGUUUUCUCUCUGUAAAGUCAUUUACUUUAUUAGCUGUCUGCUUUUGAUAAGAUUGUACAUCUCUAUCUUGUUCCUGUGUCACUGCUGUUCUCAGCGAUGCCUUGAACUUGCUCCCAAGUGGCAUUGAUUUCAUUUUUCCUGUUUUGUUUGUUGUUUUGCUCUUUGAUAUUAAGUGUUGAAGAACUAUAUUUCUUAAAAUUAUAUGAGAAGGGAAUUGUAAAAUAUACUCUGUUUUAUUGUUUGUUUGAACCACAACCCCAGCUGAUUCUUCUUCAGGCCAACAGCAAAGAAAACUGAUGAGUAAAAAGCUUUUCAGGAUGAAAGGCCUGUUUAUAUUUCCUACCUGUCGUAAUCUGCAAGUAACUGUAUGCGCUGAAAUGUUUUUAUUGUUUCAUGUUUCCACAGCCUACAUUUCGUAGAUAGAUUCAUAUUUUACAUGUAGAUAGAGAAAGUUGGUAAAAUCUGCCUAUGUUUACCACACAUUUACUGAAAUGCAUGAAAUGAAAAUGAAUAACCCUAUCUUUUGAUGUAAAACUGAAACUCACAUGAGUUUUGAAUAAAUCAAAUCAGAGACCUUGGACUGACCACAAACAGCUCAGAACUUGAGAUAAGGUCACCCCCUUGUGGAGAAAAUAAGGUUUAAGGUAAAAUCUGUGGCCUCUUUCAGCAAGAACUGUCAUUAGUUUAGCAAUAAUGUCUGUGCUAUUCAUCAAAAAGAAAAGGAAACUAUAUUACACUGCCUUUAUUCGCAGGCCUAGAUUUAAGUGGAUGUGGGCUAGUGUCAACUGUUCUGCACUACCCACACAAAUGUCCUUUUGAACAAGCAAAUUGUAAUUGAUUAAUAGUUCAAUAUAUCAUUUUAGGAAUUGUUAAAAUGAAAAUAUAAUAUUUCCAAAACAGCCGUGGUCAUUUCAAAAAGGUUUCUUAUAAAAAUGACAUUAUUUCUGAAAUAUUUAUCCAUCCAUAGAAAAGACCCAGAACAAUA